rnacentral:lncRNA from 1 species
AGUGCAGUCCGAUGCUGCAGAAGACAGACUGUUCCCUCUCUCUUCCCACAGUGUUUCUCGUCUACCUUUUGCCCUUAUUCAAUAGUGGGAAGAAAUUUCUUCUUGACCUCAGCAAUCCUUUCUGACAAUUACCAUAUGCCUCAAGAGACCUGGGAAGCUUCGCCCUGUCUGGCACAGGGAGACAAUUCCUAUCCAGAAUAAAACUGAAAGCUUUCAAAAAAAAAAAAAAAAGAAGAAGAAGAAAAGAAAGAAAGAAAGAAAGAGAAAAAGAAAGAAAGGAAAGAAAGAAAGACUGUAAUAAGUUACCUUGUCUCUGGGAGAUUCUGUAACAAUGAAUUGCACAGGCUAAUUAUCCCCUCUAUUAAAAAGUUUUUAAAAGGUUCCUCUUCAUCAUUUAGAGUAUGUUGCCUUGGCACCGGCCUGGAGAGGGUUAGCACAGGAGCCAGGCUGAGUUUAAUUAAAGAAUUUCCGUGUGUCAGCAGCAGGAGACUUUGAUUAAAGUGAGAAGCAGCCAAGAUUCCGGGAAGCGCGUCUUUCUCCUGUCUCCUCCCCAAGAUGUGCGGGUGUCCUUCCCCCAACACCAUGGAAGAAGGGGUCCAGGAAGAAAAUGUCACACUUGCCUGUGACCCCCACCUGGUCUGCAGAAAGGCAGAGAAGACCUGCUUAUGGAGGAAAAAGACGGCCUCUGUCUGGAGCUUCUAUGAAUUACAUAACGAAUAAGUGAUUUCACUACAAAGCAGUGAAAUUUUUAAAAGUUAACCAGUGGCAGAAGUGUCAGGACAGUCUGCACGGGCAAGAAUGAUACCUAAAUCACUACUCAGGCACAGGAGAGAGCAGGACUGGCAUGGCUGGCAGGAAUGAGCUAUGGAAGAUGGGAGAGAAGAAUGAGGAUGGAUGACUAAGAGCAAUGAAAGCUUACAAAGAAACCCAAGAAGGCGAAAUAUUUGCUUAUGAAUAAACAGGAAGGGAAGAAAU